rnacentral:rRNA from 1 species
UACGUAGGGUGCGAGCGUUGUCCGGAAUUAUUGGGCGUAAAGAGCUCGUAGGCGGUCAGUCGCGUCUGCUGUGAAAACUCGGGGCUUAACUCCGGGCCUGCAGUGGGUACGGGCUGACUAGAGUGCGGUAGGGGAGACUGGAAUUCCUGGUGUAGCGGUGAAAUGCGCAGAUAUCAGGAAGAACACCCGUGGCGAAGGCGGCUCUCUGGGACGGUACUGACGCUGAGACGCGAAAGCGUGGGAGCGAACAGG